rnacentral:lncRNA from 1 species
UUUUUUUUAAGUUAGACAAAUAUUUGUAGAUACCGUAUCAAAGUCAAGUCUCUAUUGGCCAAAUUUAUGGCUAUAGGUGGCUAGAUUUUGGCCAACCCAUAAUAGCUUAACAUGUGGCAUGAGUGAAGGGUAAUUUACAUGUUAAUAAUAUUUAGUGCAGUAAACACAAAUUUUUUAUCACAAGGUUAUUUGUGGAAAUUGAUGAUAUAUGGGGUAUAACUGUAACUUGACAUUAGGUAGUGUCGGAAAGGUGUGGUUGCAGGCAUAACUUCCAAGUGCAGGCAGCCAUGGUUGCAGGUUGACGCUAUUGGAAAGGAGAGGUUAUUUUUUCCCUUUUUUUUCGCCGAAGGAAACGGAUCCUUAGUCUACUCUCGAUCUAGUCCUCAGAGAUCCGUGUUAACUCGCUGAUCUUCACGAUCGUCUCCUCCGCCAUCCCAAUUAAGCUGCACCGCUUGCGCUGUCGGAGGUUCUGCUGCUGAUUCCGAUUCUGAAGACGGCGAACGAGCUUCAUUGCGCCAUACCUCUGGCUUCCCUUAUAGUGAGCGAGCUUCUAUUCCCCUCUUGAUGAGAAUCCUAAAGAAUCUGCUGCUGCCUCUGAUGACGGCAAUCAAUCUUUGCUCCUUGGCAGUUCUCACAGCUCCAUGGAAUCCAGACGGCACUGCUGCUGCGGCCAGAGCUUGACGGUUGUGCUUUGUGAUCGCGCUUUCUAAACCAAUAUGGUCGUCUCUCUAUCCACGGCCACUUGCUCCCUCCUCCCCCUCCAUUAUUCCAAUUAGAACUUGACGGAUGCAGAGUCCGGCGGAAGUAGGAAAGGCUUUUUCUUUUUGGCCGUGGGGAGGGAAGGGUUGAAUAAGAUAGUAUGCUGGUGCUAUUUAAGGACGGUAAUGGGUCUCCACUCUCUCCCCGGCCCCGCCCUUUGUCCCGUUUAGUAAGAUAUUUCGGUUUUAAUUUAAUUUGUCUCAGAUUUUUAUUUCUAUUUUUUGAGGAAGAUAGAUAUUUGCAGGUAUUNNNNNNNNNNNNNNNNNNNNNNNNNNNNNNNNNNNNNNNNNNNNNNNNNNNNNNNNNNNNNNNNNAAAUAAAAUAAAUUAGAGUUUCUUACAUAACUUAUAUAUAAAAAUAAUUAACUAAAUAUUUUUUGAAAAAUUUUACAGGUCUUUGUAGGAUGAGUACUUCAAUCUCUGUCUCCAUCUCUAUUUAUUUGCGAGAAUAAAUUUCUAUUUUCGCUGAAAUUUUACAUAUUUUCGUUAGUCUUUUUGUCACAAAUAAUUUUUAUAGGUGUGGAUUUUUUUGCCAUUCCUAGUGCAAUUGGGCUUUAAUUUUUUUAAAAGAAUUAAAAUUUUUUGGUUUAAUUUUUAUCUGAAUAAAUUCUCAUUAAAAUAGGAUCUACGUAAGAAAGAAAAAGUACUUAUCAUUAAAUAGUUAUUACAUACAUCCUAAAAAUGUACAUAUCGAAAUAUGACUUUCAAAUUAAGUUUUAAAUUAACUAAAAAAUCGACCGAAAAUCGAUUGGUCGAAUUGAAUUGGAACCUGGCCGGGUUUGGCAAAAUUCACAAAAAGUCAUUGUUUUAAUCAUUAAGAAUUAAAAAAAAUAUAAAAAAUUAAGAAAUCCUAAAUCCCUCCUCCUCAAUCAUUGAAUGACAAUCAUUGAAUGACAACGCAAGGAAGAACAAAUUCAAAUAGCAAUAAAUAAAGACAAACAAACCAAUUAGAAGCAACUCUAGACAACGGUGAACACACAGGAGGAACAUAUUGAGAGCAUAGAGACAGAAUAGUAACACGAGCAGAAGCAGAUUAAGACAACGUGAGUAAGAAAAAGGGUUAUGACAAUACUUGAAAGGGAGAGGUAGAGCUAGAAUGAUGAGUGCAUGUCUUGGAGGAGAGGUAGAGCUCGAUGACUAAGUAUUAGAGAGAAGGUAUUUUGAACAGCUUCAUAGAGAAAGAAGAAGAGUGAUUAAUUUAAGGUUGGAUAGAAGUAAUAUCUUCUGCUAGGCUUAGCUUGAGUUGGGUCUCCACCCUAUUGGCUGGUAUAUAGAAAAAGACGAAAAAAUUUUGGUAAUUUUUUUCUAUAUGUCAGUCAACAGGGCAGAAGCCCAACCCAAGCUAAACAAAAAAUAGGGUACAAUGGAUUACUUAGAACAGUAAAGCGGAGUGGACUAGUAGGUUUGGAGCUAACUUGGAGAAUCGCAAUGUAAUGCAAAAAAAUGAGAUUAUUUUGAUGAGCGGAUAUUUUAUACGCUUUUUGGGGGUAUUUUCAUAUAGUUUUUAGUAGGAUCUAGCUACUUUUUAGUAUAUUUUUAUUAGUUUUUAUGCAAAAAUCACAUUUCUGGACUUUACUAUGAGUUUGUGUGUUUUUCUAUGAUUUCAGGUAUUUUCUGGCUGAAAUUGAUGGACCUGAGCAAAAAUCUGAUUCAGAGGCUGAAAAAGGACUGCAGAUGCUGUUGGAUUCUGACCUCCCUGCACUCGAAAUGGAUUUUCUGGAGCUACAGAAGCCCAAUUGGCGCGCUCUUAAUUGCGUUGGAAAGUAGACAUCCUGGGCUUUCCAGCAAUAUAUAAUAGUCCAUACUUUUCCCGAGUUGAGAUCACGCAAACUGGCGUUUAACGCCAAGUCUCUACCCUAUUCUGGCGUUAAACGCCAGAACUGGCAUAAAAGUUGGAGUUAAACGCCCAAACUGGCACAAAAGCUGAAGUUAAACGCCAGGAGCAGC